rnacentral:rRNA from 1 species
AGCAGCCGCGGUAAUUCCAGCUCCAAUAGCGUAUAUUAAAGUUGUUGCAGUUAAAAAGCUCGUAGUUGAAUUUCGGGACCAAUAUGUCGGUCGUGCUUCGGUACGUACUUGCAUUAUUGGUUUCUCCCUUCUGAAGAACCAUGAUGUCAUUAAUUUGGUGUCUUGGGGAAUCAGGACUGUUACUUUGAAAAAAUUAGAGUGUUUAAAGCAGGCACACGCUUGAAUACAUUAGCAUGGAAUAAUGAAAUAGGACGUUUGAUUCUAUUUUGUUGGUUUCUAGGAUCGACGUAAUGAUUAAUAGGGAUAGUUGGGGGCAUUAGUAUUCAAUUGUCAGAGGUGAAAUUCUUGGAUUUAUUGAAGACUAACUACUGCGAAAGCAUUUGCCAAGGAUGUUUUCAUUAAUCAAGAACGAAAGUUAGGGGAUCGAAGACGAUCAGAUACCGUCGUAGUCUUAACCAUAAACUAUGCCGACUAGGGAUCGGAUGAUGUUAAUUUUUAAUGACUCAUUCGGCGUCCG